UCAUCUAUUAAAAACGUGAAAAGGUUCAAGUUGAAAACAACAAACCCACAUUUAGGCUUGUAUUUGAACGUCCCAUUAAGUGAUAAGGUCACUUACUUCUAGCAUAAUUAGCACCUGAGUUGUUCCGAUUAUCAAAAUCACCUAUAAAUAAGAUGAAAAAAAUGGAAUAUGUGAGAUUAUUUUUCACUAUCGAAGUCGUACCAGUGUCCGAAUAGUUUAAUGUAGUUCUACACUUUUCGAGUAUUGUGAUUGAUCGAAGAAGUUUUCAUCGUAAAAUUGGAUACCCAAUCUUGGUGGACGAAUAUUUCGAUCUCAGCUGAGCAGAGCCUAAGAAACUACUCGAACGUUCAAUUUCAUUUCCACUCGAAGCUCAAAGAUGAACUUCAAACUGUUGUUAUUUGUAAUCGGAUCCUUGUUAUUUUUGGCGUUUACUCCGGCAGCUGAAGGAGGAACUUUACGGAAAGACGUAAGUCAAUGUAAAAAGCAGUGCUCCGUUAAAUGCGAUAACAAUGGAAAGGGUACAUAUAACUGCGAGUUCACCGCAGAUGGUUAUUUUAAAUGUGUUUGCUACAAGAAGCGUGAAAUGAAUUGAGUUUAUAGCACAUUAUGUCAAUUUUGGAUGUGAAAUACAUGUAGGUACUUAUUGAGAUUUUUUUUUACAUUCUACACGUUAAAUAAAUUGAUAAUCAAAUAGCUAA